GGCUUCACAAGAGCGCAUCUCAGAUACAUACCAGCCAGCGACACACACGCCCCAUUACCCUCCUCUGACGCAACGGCGAUUUUCAGCCACAGAUGGCGCCAGAGGCAGGAGCUCGGAAAGGCGGAGGGAGGACAGCUUCCCCGCUGUAGGGAGAGGGACGCCGAGACAGAUUCAGCCCCACGUACCUCCGCCGGUCCUGAGAGUACACGCUCGGCCGCAGCCAUCAGCUCGUCGGGGGAGACCUCCAGGGGCAUGCCGCGGUGAGAGAACAGGGCCAGCAGGGCGGCAACCAAAGGCUGACGGACAGGCAGGACUCGUUAAGGCCGGACGGCAGCGUCACCAUGGGGAAACAGUUACCCAGACGACCGUGGUUUGGGUCAGCUGACAGUAAGGAAAUGAGGUAGAUCCCCUUCCUGGGUCAAGCAGCUGGUGACUGCUGAGUCUGCACCCAGGGCCAGCAGGUUACUCAGGACCUUCAGAG